CAAUCAAUCAAUCAAUCUCCAUCAAUGACUAAAAAAAAAAGAAUAAAUAAAAAAUAUGCAUUAUAAAAGGGAACAUAUCCCCUAAUUCUUUCUUCACAACAGAAAGAGGAGCACACUGAUU
rnacentral:sRNA from 1 species